AGCAGAAGCAGCAUCCAGCCCUUCUCGCAGCAUCAGCAGCAGAUUGCAAAGAACAAUCCUGCCUUUCGAAAUGUCACAUCCAAUCUGAUCUCAAAGGAUUUUUUUUUCUGCACGACCGUCAUCCAGCGCGAAACACACGCAGAGUGAGAACCCGUUAUGUAGUGUUGUGAAUCAACUAAGUUGCUCCAAAGCUGUGUCUCACACUUCUUUCCUUUUACCUGGAGUUGUUCCGAUUCCGAAACCAUAUCGCACUUUUUAGCUUUAGGCCACAUCUUGAAAAUGGCAGAAAUGAUUGGAGGUCUGAAUUUGGUGUUACUUGGAAAAAUAGGAGCUGGGAAGAGUGCAUCAGGAAACACAAUCCUGGGACGAAAAGCUUUUGAAUCAAAGGAAAGUUUCACUUCAGUCACACAAGAUCUGGCUAUUGAAUCUGGGACUGUCUGUGGACGACGAGUCACUGUUUAUGACACACCAGGAUUAUUUAACACAAAGCUCAGUGAAGAAGAGGUUCAGCAGAUAUAUGCAAAUGUUCUUCAGAGAUGUGAAUCAGGUCCCUGUGUGUUUCUGCUGGUCAUCAAAGCUGACAGAUUCACUGAAAAAGAGAGAAAAACUGUGGAGAAGAUUGAGGAGCUGCUGGGAGAAAACCGCUUGAAGAAAACCUGGAUUCUCUUCACUGGAAGAGAUGAACUGGAGGAAGAAAACAUGUCAAUAGAUGAAUUUGUCAAUGAGACUGAACCAUUGAAGAGACUCGUUCAGAAAUAUGAUCACAGAUACCAUGUGUUCAACAACAAGAAGAAAGAACCUAAUGGACAAGUUCAAGAGUUGCUUUCAAAAAUAGAUGCAAUAGAAAAAGGAGCAAAACCGAAGAAGACUCUAGUGAAGGGAGGAAAACUAAAAUGCAUUCCUGUCUCCAGAUUAACUGAGCAGGAGCUGCCGAGGUGGAAGAUAUUUGCUGAAGAGAGGCUGACCAGAAUGCUUUGUGCUAGACAGACCCUUGAGACUGAUGAGCUAGAAGCCUCCAGACGGAUUGUUCUUCUGGGUAAAAGUGGAGUUGGGAAGAGUGCAUCUGGAAACACAAUACUGGGACAGAAUAAGUUUAACUCUGUGAGAAGUGCAAGUUCAGUAACCAGUGAAUGUUCAGUUUUUCAUGCCACAUUUUCAGGCAGAUCUGUGUCUGUAGUUGAUACUCCUGGAUUCAUUCACACACACAUGAAACAUGAAGAGUUAGUGAUGGAGAUAGGGAGAAGUGUUUAUUUAUCCAGUCCUGGACCUCAUGCUUUUCUCAUUGUGAUUAAUCUGAGUAUAAGAUUCACUGAACAUGAGCUGCAGAUUGCAGAACAGAUUGAAACACUGUUUGGUCAGGAGGUGUUAAAAUACUCAAUCAUUCUUUUCACUCAUGGAGAUCAGCUAGAUGGAGAGUCUGUAGAGAAAUUCAUUGAGGAGAACAGUGCAUUAGAAGAUCUAGUUGAUCAGUGUAGAGGCAGAUAUCACGUCUUCAACAAUAAAGAUCAGAAUAACAGAGAGCAGGUGAAUUAUCUACUGCAGAAGAUUGACACAAUGAUAGAGCGUAAUCACAGAGAGCAGGUAUUUGUUCUAUGGCAGAAGAUUGACACAAUGAAAGAUGAGAAUAACAGAGAGCAGGUGAAUGAUCUAUGGCAGAAGAUUGAUACAAUAGAGCAGAAUGGAGGAGGAACCUACAGUACUGAGAUGUUUGAAGAUGCUCAGAAAUUCAGACAAGAGGAAGAAGAGAGAAAACAACAGGAGGAGAAACAAAGACAAGAGAAGAUUGAGAGAGUGAGAAAAGAGACAGAGGAGAAAAUCAGAGCAGAAUUUAAAGGUCCACCAACAUUUUUACUAGAAAAACUUAAGUCAAUGAGACAGAGAGAGGAAGAUAGGAAACGACGCGAGGAGGAACAACAGGAGACGUUUGAGAGAUUCUUUUGCCACCUGGAUUCACCAAGGAGACAUAAGGCAAUGCUUAUGGAAAUGGAAAUGGAAACAUAUAUGGAAAUGCAGAGAAAACGACGAGAGGAGAAACAAAGACAAGAGGAGAUUGAGAGAGUGAUAAAGGAAACAGAGGAGAAAAUCAGAGCAGAGUUUGAAGGUCCACCAAGGUUUUUACUAGAAAGGUUUAAGUCAAUGAGACUGAGAGAGGAAGAGGAAGAGGAGAGAAAACAAAUGGAGAGACAAAGACAAGAGAAGAUUGGGAGAGUGAGAGCAGAGUUUGGAGGUCUACCAAUUUGUUUACGAAGAAUUAAGCCAUGGAGACGGAGAGAGGUAGCAGAGAAAACACAACGAGAGAAGAAACAAAGACGAGAUGAUAUUGUGAGAGUAAGAAAGGAGACAGAGGAGAAAAUCAGAGCAGAGUUUGAAGGUCCACCAAGAUUUUUACUAGAAAGACUUAAAGUAAUGAGACUGAGAGAUGAAGAAAGGAUACAAAAAGAGGUGGAACGACAGGAGGUGUUUGAGAGAGUCUUUGACCACCUGUGUUUACCAAAAAUGCGUGUGGAAAUGCAGAGAAAACAACAAGAGGAGAAACAAAGACAAGAGGAGAUUGAGAGAGUGAUAAAGGAGACAGAGGAGAGAAUCAGAGCAGAGUGUGAAGUCCCACCAAGAUGAUUAUGAGACACUUAAAUCAAUGAGUCAGAUCAAGAGAGAAAGCUACAAGAGGAAAAACAAAGACAGAAGAAAUUCACAGCAGCAUUUCAUGGACCAUCACUAUUUCUACUAGAGAAAGAGAAACAAGACUAUAUAAUGUGAACUAGAAGCAAGAUUGAGAAGUGACAUAAGAAAAUUUAAUAUGGAAUGUGUCUUUAGUUGAUACUCCUGGAUUCCUUGACACACUGAUGAAACCUGAUGAAGCAAGAAGUGUUUAUUUAUCCAGUCCUGGACCUCAUGCUUUUCUCAGUAUGAAAUGAGGAAAAAUUACUGGAGGAAGAAACAAGCAGUGGAGUUCAACCCAUUUCUUCAGUGUUCUGCAUCAUAUAUAGUUUAGAAGAACUAAUAAAGCAGGAGGAAAUAAAAAGAAACAUAAGAUUGAUGGAAUGAUGAAGACAGAUGAGAGAAGAGUAUAAUCAGUGAAGAAUAAAAGAGGAUUCAGUGAUUAAAUGAUGGGCUAAAAGUACUGCUACAUGCUUUGUCAAGCUGCCGGCUGAUAAAAUCAGCCUGAGAAACUCAUCAUCAUCACCUUCCUCACUGUUGUGAUCCAGCUGAAGAAUUUAGGAACAGUACAGUAUAAAACACCUGAACAACUGUACACAAACAUUUCCACAUCCAGCUGACGAGACGCUCUGGAUCAGAGACCGUAAGAAUUGUUCAGCAGUUCAACACAUCUAAACACAGUUCAUUGUUUCCGGCUACAUGAUGAUGAGGUUCACCGUAGUCAACCGGAUCCGGGCCGUAUCCAGGUGAGACCAAGGACCUGCACCUUGACACGACCACAACGCAGCCCUGAAGUAUCAGCAGAGAUUGAGUCAACUAGAUCAUCCCCUGUGAAGGCCUCAUCGACACGACAGCCACGACACAGUUCCUCAACAACCGUCCAUACCGGCUUGAUGAAUACGAUCCUCAAUUGGAUGGAACUGAAAUAAAUACUUUUAAUGUUGCGAUCCUAUUGGACUUAUGAUAGCAACCUGAAUUGUAACAAAGCACUGUUGGCCAGAGGAGAACUGGCACCCUGACUAAGCCUGGUUUCUCCCAAGGUUUUUUUCUCCAUUUUAACACCAAUUUGCCACUUGUCUGCCACCUGAUGUCACCUGAUGGAGUUUGGGUUCCUUGCCGCUGUCGCCUCUGGCUUGCUUAGUUGGGGACACUUGACUUGACAUUUUGAUAUUCAACAGUGCUUUGAUCUGCCUGCAUUGACACUAUUCUUUAAGAGCUGCUGUGCAGCCAAACAAUGUACCAGUUAUCAAUGUAAAGCUGCUUUGACACAAUCUACAUUGUAAAAAGCACUAUAUAAAUAAAGGUGACUUGACUUGA